rnacentral:lncRNA from 1 species
AAAGAUCCAUGAUAAAAUAGGUGCAUACAUCCUAUUUGAUGCAUUAACACAAUCCUCCGAAGGGCAUAUACACCAUGCAUAGAAGAGAAGCUAAACAAGGAGGAAAAACCGAAUGGAAAUCACAUCCAAGAAGGAUGGUAAAAUCCAGACGUACUGAUCAUCCUCAACCCAUCCAAGGCAAGGCCGUACUCGAAUCCCGUGGUGGUGGAGUAUCCUAGGCGGCGGAGCAGGGAAAGGAAUGACACACCAGCGCGACCGGCGAAGACGAAGACACCAUUGACUGCUCGUCCUUCUCUUUGGCGCCACACUCCGAGGCACGACAAAUGUUUUCAUCAUUCCAGUUCCCAUUGAACUGAUGCUUGAUUCUGGUGCAAACCUAUAAGAAAGAACACAUAUUUAUGUAUAUUUCAUCAAGUAUAUGCCAGAAAUAUCAACAAGCGAAACCUAUGUGGUUUGACCUCAAGUCCCGUC